UACGGCCACAUCAUGCUGAAACAUUGGUUCUCGUACGAUCACCAAAGUUAAGCAAAAUCGAGCCUGGUCAGUACCUAAAUGGGUGACCGCUCGGGAAUACCA